UCAUUUCUUCCUCACACUUCAUUCUCGGCCUCCCCUCUCUCUCUCUAUACUCUCUUUUCCUCCAUUGAUGUCCAUUGAAGAAAGCUUAGAGAAGCUUCAUCAAACACUACUAUGAGAUAAUCCACCAUCCAAUCCAAUCAAAUACUAUCAUAUCUCAUCAAAUUCAAAGAAGCUAGAGCUAAGAUCAAAGUUGGAGCAAAGUCUUGAUCACCUUUUAAAUCCUUGAGCUUUGUGACCAGGGGGAUUAGCGUUGCUUUCCCAAGACAGGUUUAUAUGUGAUUAUGAUCUUCAGGCUUUGCCUAACCAGGUGGGCUUACUUUCCAAAUGUACAAAGUAUGAUUGAGUUAUUAAGCUCUAAAUGUUUCAAUGAAAUGCAAAUUGUUUAUUUAAUGUAAUGAAAACUGUUUAUCCAAUAAAAUAUUUAUGUGCACUCUGCUCUGUUUAAGGCUCGCAAUUCAUGGAUCGAUCGAGGUUCUCUUAUGGCCUAACACGUUAUUUGAGAAUUGUGUACACUUGUUAGUUGUUUCGGUGGGUUGAUCUCCAUCGGGCACUAAUUCAUGUAAGAGGCGUUAUAAGGGUGCUUGGCUGGAUGUGUUCCGGAGCAUGUAUCAUGUAAGGCCUGCCUGGGUAGCGUCCCGAGGUCAAUUCAACUUGUCUGAGUUACGUCCUCAGGGCAAGUGCAAUGGGAAUGAGGGAUCCGUCGGUGGCUAAAAGGUCCAGGAUCACAGCGAGUAACAGAAAGGGAGUGUGACAUGUGCGCACAAAUGAAAGAAAAUGUUUUAACAUGCUUAGAAGUACUUCUUUCAAUUUAAAACCUUCUAAGUCAUGUCAAGUAUGAUUGGAUAAACUGUCUUUAUUAAAAUAUGAAAUGUUUCAGAAAAAUGCAUGCCCACUAAGUACAUUAGUACUUAGCCCAAAAAUACUUUCAAAUGUUUUCAGGUUGGCUGGCCGGUGCUGACGGGACGGAGCUGAGGCUAGAGUUAAAUUCCUAUGUUAGACUUCCGCUGUAGCAAUUACUCAUUUCAGUCUUUUGUUUUUCCAACUUAAGAUCUUCAUGUUAAAUUUCAAAUGAUAUAUUUGACCGAGUUUAGACUCUUCACUACUAAAUUAUGCCAAUGAAUGUCGGUUGUCAGAAGCAUGAAACAAAACUUGUGAUCCAAAGGGGCAUAUCCCGACUCUCUAUCUUAUUAUUCGGGUUUUAACAAGGUUGUUCCUUGUUUA